ensembl:lncRNA
UUUAUCAUGAUGGAAAGCCACCUUUUGAUUGGUGGCCGUUUUAACACCGGGCCACCUGGCCAUAGCUUCCUUCCUCGAUGAUCUCGUUAACCAAAUAGGAAGAUUCCGAGGAUUUCAGGUCUCCUCUCUUCUGGAAAGUCUCAGAGAAAUAUCUUCCUGGGAAAGAGGAGUAAUACAAGAAUAAGAGAAGCUUACAUUGACUGGACCUCCUCACCCAAAGAUUGACGGUCGGUGGCAGUGUUGAGCCGACGACUGGUCCUGCUGUGGCGCGCAAAACAACACUUCAGGCAUUGCGGACCACCAAAUGGACACCCACUUGCUUUUCACAGAGGGACCUUCAAUAAAUUACGCCAUUCAUUUCCAAUGCGAAAUGGCUUUUUGCUCAAUAGCUUCCAUGGUAUGGGAGACAAAAACCCAAAACCAAUGCAGAGCUGUUCUACUAGGUCCUAAUGAUUAGACACACCCAAGGAUAAUAUAAUUUGUUGCACUUACAAUUUUAUUUGAUUUUUUAAAGAACCCC